rnacentral:rRNA from 1 species
UAGAGUUUGAUCCUGGCUCAGGAUGAACGCUAGCGGCAGGCUUAACACAUGCAAGUCGAGGGGCAUCGGGAGGGAAGCUUGCUUUCCUUGCCGGCGACCGGCGCACGGGUGAGUAACACGUAUGCAACCUGCCCUCUUCAGGGGGACAACCUUCCGAAAGGGAGGCUAAUCCCGCGUAUAUCGGUUUCGGGCAUCCGAGAUCGAGGAAAGAUUCAUCGGAAGAGGAUGGGCAUGCGGCGCAUUAGCUUGACGGCGGGGUAACGGCCCACCGUGGCGACGAUGCGUAGGGGUUCUGAGAGGAAGGUCCCCCACACUGGUACUGAGACACGGACCAGACUCCUACGGGAGGCAGCAGUGAGGAAUAUUGGUCAAUGGGAGAGAUCCUGAACCAGCCAAGCCGCGUGAGGGAAGACGGCCCUAUGGGUUGUAAACCUCUUUUGUCGGAGAACAAAACCCGGGACGUGUCCCGGACUGCGUGUAUCCGAAGAAAAAGCAUCGGCUAACUCCGUGCCAGCAGCCGCGGUAAUACGGAGGAUGCGAGCGUUAUCCGGAUUUAUUGGGUUUAAAGGGUGCGUAGGCGGCCCGUUAAGUCAGCGGUAAAAUUGCGGGGCUCAACCCCGUCGAGCCGUUGAAACUGGCAGACUUGAGUUGGCGAGAAGUACGCGGAAUGCGCGGUGUAGCGGUGAAAUGCAUAGAUAUCGCGCAGAACUCCGAUUGCGAAGGCAGCGUACCGGCGCCACACUGACGCUGAGGCACGAAAGCGUGGGGAUCGAACAGGAUUAGAUACCCU